rnacentral:lncRNA from 1 species
UCUAAGUAGUCAAUCCCAAAAAGUGGAGCAGAGCGAUCGACACUAAAAAUGCUAUACGGGAUAGGCUAUUGGGACAUUUAGAAAAACAAUAUAACUGAUUUAAUAACAUACGCGUGUAAAUGCUAAAAUUUAAUAAUAUACACGUGUAAAUGCUAAAAUUAAAAAUAUACACAAAAUUAAAGACAUUCAUAAUUACAAUUUGUUAUCGCUAAGCCUCUGAGGCUCUGAGUAACUAAACUUAGCAUUCAAAUGAAGUGAAAACAAAGAUGGCCCCAUAAUUUGGGAUGGAUCAGUUGAGCACAACUCAAGUCACAUAACAGAAGGAAACUAGAGUAAAGAACAGCUAAUUUAUGGCGACUUCUGGCAAACCCAGUUUGGUAAGGGGGAAAAAUAAGAAAUCGGAAAAAAAACUAAUUCUAUUAACAAAGAAGACCAUCCACUGCUCCAAAAGCAGGUCCAAAUCGGAAACAGGAAACAAAACACAGAUGGCAACCAUACUUGACAGUUGUGAUUUCAGAUCAGAACAGAAGAAAAUAAACAAAAAAAGUCUUGCAAUUUUAUUUGGGCACAGCCAAUUCAUUACAUUUGCAGUCAGAUCAGGCACAUGUAAAUAACUAUUUGGACAGAUCAAGAAACAAACUAAGUGGAUUACUGAAUCCCACAUCAAGGAUAUAUACUCUUCUAGAAAAUAAAGCAGAAAACCAGACCCUAACUCUUAACUUAGAUUGUAGAUUAAGAAUACAAUUCAGCAUUAGUACUAAUCAGGAUACAAACCAGCCAAUUUGACCCCAAGCAACUCAAGCAUAAGCAACAUCCUAUCUAACAAAAUCCAUCAAACUGGCUGAAAAUAUAAUCACGCAUGAACUUCAUAAUUUUAAAUAAAAACCAUAACAUAAUUAACCAAAAGCAACAAUAACAACAAAAUACCACCAUGUUGUCAAUUGUCUUAAUUAUACUGAGAAUCAACAUAGAAGAUUAGCAUUAUGACUAAGACAAGCGACGACAAUCAUGGGCGUUGGCGCCCCUUUCCACAUAUCUUGUAAAAUCAGUUAUAUAGGUAACUUUUUGUAAAGAAUCUUCGCUACAUAUAUAUAUAUAUAUAUAUUAUAAGUGUGUUGAUGAAAGGUAGAUCUUCCUUGACUAAGACUCAAAUGGAUAAUCGAGUAAGGGCUCUAGAAUUCCCUCAAUCAUCAGCAAUAACAGUAUAACAGUGGUUCAAUAAUUGCAUCUAAGAACGAGAGGGAAAACAUAACACCCAAGUAAAGAGAUGUGCGUUGAAGAAAUCGUUUUAGACAGUGAAGCAUUUCAUCAAACAAAUGAUGUGCAAGAGUAGAAAUACAAGUAAAAGACCAUGAACAUCAAAAAUACAAACAUGCAAUGAGAUUCAGAAUAAGAAAAAAGGAGAGAAGAAGAAGAAUAAGAAGAAGUUACCCUUUUUCGGGUUUGGGUUGGGCGAUGGUGGUUAGGGUUGUGGUUGAAGGUAGCCGCAGGGAUGGUGGAAAAACGAAGGACGAUGAAUAGAGUAUAUAAUAUUCUUCCUUUAGACCCCAAAUUAUUUUUUCAAUUUUUAUUAUACUUUGAUUUUAUUUCUUCUUCAACUAGAUCUUGUCAUUUUUC